rnacentral:lncRNA from 1 species
AGUGGAAAAAGUCUCCUUCCCUCUCCACAGCUUUAGUCUUUCUCCCCAGAGGAGCCACUCUGACCAGGUGCUUUUGUAUCCUUCCAGCUGGUCUAUUGGAAUGGACUCUGCAGGCAUUUCCACAAGCAGCCUUCUUUAUUCAUUAGUUUAGCACAUAGUUGAAUUUCCACUGUGUGUAAUAUUUACCUGUGCACAGAGAGGACCAAACCUGU